UACGAGGUGCAGCAGUUGUUCGGUGAUUCAUUGGGCGUAAAGGGCGCGUAGGCGGCGGGGCAAGUCGGGUGUGAAAUCUCAGAGCUCAACUCUGAAACUGCAUUCGAUACUGCUUUGCUUGAGGACUGGAGAGGAGAUUGGAAUUCACGGUGUAGCGGUGAAAUGCGUAGAUAUCGUAAGGAAGACCAGUGGCGAAGGCGGGUCGUC
rnacentral:rRNA from 1 species